UCUGUUUCUUGCUUCGACACCUGGGGUGUUGUUCAGUGCGUGUUGUUUUUGCCUCGACACCUGGAGUCCUGCUCAGUCCUAUCGUGUCUUCGCUCCACAGAGAGGUGGAGAAAGAGGGAGGUGGUACUGUUUGUUAGCAUGUACGAUUCGGAUUCGAUCUUCCCUGCGUAGAUUGGCUGAACGCAGAAAGCCUUGGAGAUUUCAGGUUGGGAAAGCUUUCGCAGUGUUCGUUUUGGGAGGCAGAAGGCCUCAACUAAGGCUAUUCAGGGAUUCGAGAGAAGGAGGAAGACCAUAACAAAGACGUACUUCGUUUGCGGGUAAUCAAAAAUGGUGUAAUUGCUGAGUCAUAGGUUCUGCAUGUUGUCAUUCCAUUCGUUUCCUGUUCGAUUUAGCACUUAUUUGUGAAAGAUUGUUGGGUGCUGAGUCAUAGGUUCUGCAUGUCUGAUUUGGUGUUUUAUGUGUUUUAUCAAUUCGAGUCUUUUAUGUGUUUCAGUUGGAUAUAACUUUGUUUAGUAUUGAUUUCAAAACUGUCCAAGCUAAUCUAGAAGACGGAGUUCAGGCUAGAGCAAGAUGUUCACAGGUAUGCUGGCACUUCGUUUUCCACUCACUUUUGAUUAUCCAAAUCAAUCAAUGUGAAAGAGAAGCCUCAAAGCACAGGAAAAGUCUUGAUUACAGAAUUCACAACCACUGUUCAAAAGGGAUUCCUUCUAGGAUUAAGAUUCUGCCCUGAACUUUUUGGUAUACAAAUAAGAUCUCCAUUACUUUUCCAUUUCCAGAAGCCUCUAUCAACAUCAGUCUCUCUCCUUCGCCGACAUCAACAGCACCCAUCACUCAUUGCUUGUUUGUUGUGAGCAGCAAGAACAGUGUUUGCGACUAUAGCUUCCAAACCAGAGCCGACCCAGACGAGCACAAAGCUACCAUCUUUGCUGCAGAACCAAGUGUUCGCCCAAUACAGAGGAAGAGGCGAGCCGAAAGAAAGGGAGAAGAGAACGGGGAAGAAGGAAGAGAAGGAAAAGAGACAGACCGGAAACUCUUGACUAAAACAACACAAGUGGAAGAAAGUGCUGGAUUAUUCAGUUUUGUUUUCUGGUCAGGAAGCUGGAUUUAGAAAUGGAUAGAAAGAAGGAAUGAAAGAAAGGGAGAGGUCCGUUCGAUCUUUUGUUGUUGGUUGCUGAUCAAAGGAUUGUUGAUAGGGAGAGAAUUUUCAUCUGUUCUUUGUUUGUCGGGUUAAAAGAUUAUUCCCAACCACUAUCUUGCUUCAAGUCAUUUUCUUCAGUGAGUACCAGACCCAGCAAGGGUAACCAAAGCACCACAGCAAGUAAGUUUUCAAAUGUUGCAGAUAUAUAUUCAUCAGGGUAAUUGAUUCUGUCUUUGCUCAAUUUCUGGUUUUCAAGUAAAGUCAGUUGCUUCUUCACAGCUAAAAUGGGUUCCAUUUAUGCAAUUUGGUGAAUUUGAGGGAUAGAUUUUUUUUUUUUUUUUUUUUGUGGUUGCAUGUAAUUUUGUAACAUUUGUUCUUAGUUUUUGAGGGUGUACUUUGUUUAGUGAUAUACUGUUAUACAGCUGCAUUCAGGGAUGUAGUGAAAGACAUCAAUUGAGAUUGGUAUAAGACGGUAGUGUAUCUGUUUCAUUUGAUCGAGUGUGGUUUCUGCUUAUUUUUAGUUGUUUGCUACUUUAUUUUCUACUAUACCUGUUUCAUUUGAUCAACUGUGGUUUCUGCUUACUUUUAGUUGUUUACUACUUUGUUUUUAUUUGAACCGUCCAUAUUUGAAAUUCAUGGAGCACAUGGGUACCUUAGAAACAUGAACUGUACUACAGAAGAUCAUAGUAAAUGAGAAGGAGAGGGAAUUCAUGAUUAUAUGUAAUGAAAUCAAAAUUGAUCGCGAGAUUACUGCUGGAACUGAGAUAGUAAGCUUCAUCAUGUACUCAUCAAGUGUGCUUAAUAUCUGGAUGAAGAUUCAUAGUUGAAGGCUACAGACUUUGGCCUGUCAGAUUUUGUGAAACCAGAUGAAAAGUUUAUCAAAAUUGUUGGUAGUACAUACUGUGUAGCCCCCAAAGUGUUACAUAUGGCUUAUGGUACAGAGGCUGAUGUCUGGAGCGUAGGUGUGAUUGCACACAUUCUAUUGUGUGGCAGCUGUCGAUUUUGGCCUUGAACGAAGUUUGGCAUUUUUCGGGCAGUUCUAAAAGUUGAUCCAAGUUUCAAUGAACCACCUUGGCCACAUUCUCUACAGAGGCAAAAGUAAUUUUGUCAAGCGCCUAUUGAAUCAAGACCCACGGAAAAGAAUUACCACUGCACAAACGUGAAGUCAUCCCUGCCGUGAACAUCAUAACUGUUAAACUUCCUCUGGACAUAAUAAUAUUCAAGCUCAUGAAGGUUUAUAUGCGCUUAUCACCGCUCCGCAAAACUGCUUUAAGGGGAGUUUUUUGCUCAGCUUUCCAGGUUGGUGUAUCAACAUGGUGUCUUAACAUGACAGGGCCGAUUUUUGUAUCUAUGUUCAAGCCUUUGGGGAUCGUAGUUGCAGUUGCCACUGGUUUUGGGGUGUAGCAUACUCUUCACUCUCUGGGUUCAGAAAAUCUAGAAAGAAAGCACGGGCUAUCUAGCUUAAUUUUGAGUUUAACUACCAAAAAAGAUAAUUGUUGUUUAUGUACUCUAAUCGACUGAAAACACGUAUCAAUAACAAAGAGACCCGCAGCAAAUCUAUCUAGUUAAUAUAGAAGCAGUCACGCGGAGUGAUACAACUAUGUGUAUGACUAAUUUUGUACAAUCAUGUUCCACGUUGCUACUAGAGAAUACUCCCAGAAACGACCUAGGCGGACAGCGGAGAAGGGAGACUCUUCAAAGUCUUUACUGAUUGGAUUUCUAAUCUAAAACGCACCUCCAUCACUCACUCAUCCAUC